AAGAAAAGGUUGAGAUAAAAGUGUGAUAGUCCUGUAGUAGCCUGUGUCUAAUAAAGCAACUAGAAGACAGAAGAAGGCUGUAAACCCAGGAAUUGGAGGGCUGAUAUCCUCAAUUUAAGUUGAGUGCUCAUGACUGAAAACAUGCUGAGGAAGACCAGGGAAGAGAAGCUGGGACUCCUAAAUAGAUCACACAAAGAGGUGUUGACACAUCCUCAUUUCACAGGAUGGGGAAUGAGGCACAGAAAUGAAGGGUUCAGUCCUGCUACUAGUUGAGCGUAUUGACUCCAAUCCAGCCAAUUGCUUAGAAUUUCUUAUCUAGAUCACCUCUUCCAGCUGGAUGAUGUGCCUGCCUGUCUGUCUGUCUCAUUUCUCUUACUGUCUAACACCGAGAAGCAAAUACAGAAGAGAGGAAAAAUGCAGUAUGUUAUCCCAUGUACAACACAGGCACAACACAGCAGAGCUGACACUAGGAAUGGAAACUUUAAGAUCCCAGAUAUUAGAAUAGGUUUCUGUGGGAUCCAGAGGUAGAAGACAGACACCUCUGCUCACUUGAAUACAAUAGAAGGAGAGCCACACAUGAAGAGUCUCUCUGAUUGCAGCUAACCCCCCACCCCACCCACCCCCCGGAUUACCUGAGAAAUGAGAAUCAAUUACUUCACUGCAGAAAGAAAAGAAAAAAGAAAACCUCAUCAGGGCUUCAAGUCACAUUAAUUUUAAAAUAUGUUGUGAGAAAAGAUGUAGUUAGUGAUAAAUUGACUAUGUGGGUGGAUUUUACUCUAAAUCCACUCUGAAAGGAUUUCUAUAUGAUUUAUUAACAUAGCAAAUAUUUUAAAAUGGUAAUGUAUGGCCUGACUGUACAUGCAAUUGAAACAAAUCAUUAUAAAUUCUAAGUGUAAGGAAUAGAGUUUUUUGUGUCAUUGUUGGAAUAACUUGUU